GAGCGGAUGAGGUAGGUAGCUUGCUACUUAUGGAUUUAGCGGCGGACGGGUGAGUAAUAUAUAGGAAUCUGCCUUAGAGCGGGGAACAACAGACCGAAAGGUUUGCUAAUGCCCCAUAGGUAUGCAGUCUUCGGAUUGUUUAUUAAAGGAGUAAUCCACUCUAAGAUGAGCCUGUAUCCGAUUAGCUAGUUGGCGGGGUAAAGGCUCACCGAGGCUACGAUCGGUAGUUGGUCUGAGAGGAUGAUCAGCCACAAUGGGACUGAGACACGGCCCAUACUCCUACGGGAGGCAGCAGUGGGGAAUUUUACACAAUGGGGGAAACCCUGAUGUAGCGACACCGCGUGAACGAAGAAGCCUUUUGGGGUGUAAAGUUCUGUCGGCUGGAACGAAAAAAAUGACGGUACCAGCAAAGGAAGCAUCGGCUAACUACGUGCCAGCAGCCGCGGUAAGACGUAGGAUGCAAGCGUUGUCCGGAUUUAUUGGGCGUAAAGAGUUCGUAGGCGGUUAUUUAAGUCUGAUGUUAAAUACUGUGGCCCAACCACAGAACUGCAUUGGAUACUGGAUGACUUGAGUGGCGUAGAGGCAGGUGGAAUUCCCAGUGUAGCGGUGAAAUGCGUAAAUAUUGGGAAGAACACCAGUGGCGUAAGCGACUUGCUGGCCCGUAACUGACGCUUGAGAACGAAAGCCAGGGGAGCGAAUGGGAUUAGAUA
rnacentral:rRNA from 1 species